rnacentral:rRNA from 1 species
UGUGAGUAGCAAUACAAGCGAUGUUCAGUGGCGAAAGGGUGCGUAACACGUGGAUACAUUCCGGGAAGCGGGGGAUAGCCCAGGGAAACUUGGAUUAAUACCGCAUGUGGUCGAAAGACUAAAGACGGGGAUCGAAAGACCUGUCACUUCCCGAUUGGUCCGCGGCCUAUCAGCUAGUUGGCGGGGUAAAAGCCCACCAAGGCUACGACGGGUAGCUGGUCUUAGAGGACGACCAGCCACACUGGAACUGAGACACGGUCCAGACACCUACGGGUGGCAGCAGUCGAGAAUCUUUCACAAUGGGGGCAACCCUGAUGGAGCGACGCCGCGUGGAGGAUAAGGUCUUCGGAUUGUAAACUCCUGUCAUGCGCGAACAAGGUUGCAGGGAUAAUACCUUUGCAAAUUGAUGGUAGCGCAAGAGGAAGAGACGGCUAACUCUGUGCCAGCAGCCGCGGUAAUACAGAGGUCUCAAGCGUUGUUCGGAAUCACUGGGCGUAAAGGGUGCGUAGGUGGCAUGGUAAGUCAGAUGUGAAAGCCCAGGGCUCAACCUUGGAAUUGCAUCCGAUACUGCUGUGCUAGAGUACUGGAGGGGUGACUAGAAUUCUCGGUGUAGCAGUGAAAUGCGUAGAUAUCGAGAGGAAUACCAAAGGCGUAGGCAGGUCACUGGACAGUUACUGACACUGAGGCACGAAGGCCAGGGGAGCAAACGGGAUUAGAUACCCCGGUAGUCCUGGCAGUAAACGGUGCAUACUUGGUGUGGGAAGAUUCGACCCUUCCUGUGCCGGAGCUAACGCGUUAAGUAUGCCGCCUGGGAAGUACGGUCGCAAGAUUAAAACUCAAAGAAAUUGACGGGGACCCGCACAAGCGGUGGAGUAUGUGGCUUAAUUCGAUGCAACGCGAAGAACCUUACCUGGUCUUGACAUGCACUGUGUCUCCGAUGAAAGUCGGAUAGAGUAGCAAUACUCGCUUUGCACAGGUGCUGCAUGGCUGUCGUCAGCUCUGUCGUGAGAUGUUGGGUUAAGUCCCGCACCAGCCCACCCC